AGGUAUUUUAAGCCCCCUUGGGGCACUGUUCCCGCCCCCUCUGAGCUUCCAGACCCUUCCAACCCCAUCUAGGUGCUACUCUUGCACACUAGGUGCGUCCUGCCCCUUUUGGGUACGUCUAGAACCUUUUAUGGGCGCCUGGGUCAGUCUCCCAUACGCUAUGGGGCUAGCCAGGGUCGCUUUCCUGCUUCAGUGGUGCUUGCCGAUCUGGAGGGUUCCAAAGAAUUCCUUGAGCUGCACUGCCAUUUUCGGAUGCUCCUCCACGCUUCUAGAGUCUUCCUCUACCUCUAAGAGUUUCCCCGCGCAAUUUGGAGACCUAGACCCCUGAUUUUUCGAAAAGCCCUCUAGUGACCUGUCGAGCAACUUGACCCUGUGGUUGCACAUUUGGGCUCCAUCCUCGACACUUACACGCGGCUUGUGAUACGGAGCCUUGGAGCUCCAUGGGUCUCCCAUCUUGUGUCCAUCCUCCAUUUUGAUGUUUACAUCUCUAUAGUCUCCUGUCGAAUUUCAGCCUUGUCAUCGCACCAAGUCUUCUCCCGGUUCUUGUCAUUGGCAACUUACCGAUGGUGUUAUUCAUCCUUGGCCCCUCCAGCGUUAAUGUUCUCAUCGGUGCCGUGGCGAUUCUGACAUCUCUUUUUCGGAUUCUCGUUAGCAUGGCCUCCAUCAAAGGAGUGCAUGCCGCUUGGGCCAAUUGUCGUGACCGCUUAUCAAGAUCUUGAGGUUCUUCCCAUGUUCCUCCUUGCAUGGCGACAAGGACAAAGUUUGUAGCUAGGGUUUUUUUGAGGUUUACGUUUUUGCUGUAUCUAUCUAAGCUUUGGGCAUCUGAAUGCUAUAAUUGACAUUUUUAUUAA